rnacentral:rRNA from 1 species
GACGAACGCUGGCGGCGUGCCUAACACAUGCAAGUCGAGCGGAGACAGUGAGUAGCUUGCUAUGAGCUGUUUUAGCGGCGGACGGGUGAGUAACGCGUGAGCAACCUUUCCCAGACAGGGGAAUAACACACCGAAAGGUGUACUAAUACCGCAUAAGACCACGGGAUCACAUGGUUCUGGGGUAAAAGAAUUAUCGGUUUGGGGUGGGCUCGCGUCCGAUUAGGUAGUUGGUGAGGUAACGGCCCACCAAGCCGACGAUCGGUAGCCGACCUGAGAGGGUGAUCGGCCACAUUGGGACUGAGACACGGCCCAAACUCCUACGGGAGGCAGCAGUGGGGAAUAUUGGGCAAUGGAGGAAACUCUGACCCAGCAACGCCGCGUGGAGGAAGAAGGUUUUCGGAUCGUAAACUCCUGUCCUUGGAGACGAGU